rnacentral:miRNA from 9 species
ACAACAACAUUCGGACCGUCGGUCUACCGAGCAAUAUUACCUGCUCGGUGGAAGAUCGUCCCUUUGUCGUAUAUC